CCCCAUGCGUCCUGAACUGGAGGCUGUUGUAGCUCUCUGAGGGGCAUCUGUAGUGGGGUUCUUUCCCCCUGUUCCUUGGUGGAGUGCAGCCUCUGUCUAAUUCCUGUGUUUUCUUCCCCCUUCCCAUCAGUACUCUCCAGGAGAGGUGGAUACAAUCUAGGUGAUCCGGUUGAGGUGGAAUCCUGGGGGCGUUGACCAGAAGUCUCCAUUGCUGGGAUAGGAGCCUGCUGAAAUGGUGGCUCUGCGAUCUCUGGGAGAGCUGGUGGAGGAGCAGGGGCUGCUGCAGGAACUUCACCUGGCCCUGGAUCGGUCAGCAAGGCAGCCUCCGGUCCUGGUGGUGCGCUGGGCAGUGGGCAUGUCAUCGUCCAGUAUGGGGAGGCCCCCGUGGAGGAGAAUCAAUCCUAGCCUACCCUCCGUGUGAAGUCUCCUCUCAACCAGAGGCCAUGUUGAAGAGGACAGCACAGAUUCCACACGGAUCAGGUGCUGAUAAAAAAAUAAAUAAGACAGUACAAAUAAAAUUGCAAACUCUGGAGAUGGGAAAGAAAUGGCAGAAGAUGCUUCUAUGGAAUAAUUAGUCCACUGUUGAGAGGAGUUUUAUGCAAAGUUUGAAAUGCUACAAAAUUUAGAGGUUAUUUAAUAAGGGAAUUCAAAUCUGAAAUAAGUGGAUAGAAAAGCAUAUGAGAAGGUAAGUGGAAAAAUAAGCAACAUGUAAAUAACAAAGUAUCAUAAACACUUUAUUUCUUGAACCAAGAAGAUAAGCAAGAUUAGGAAAUGAAACUACCUCUUACUA
rnacentral:lncRNA from 1 species